rnacentral:rRNA from 1 species
GGGUCAGUAGGUUGGUCGUGCCACCGGUACGUACUGGUCUCACUGAUUCCUCCUUCCUGAAGAACCGUAAUGCCAUUAAUUUGGUGUUGCGGGGAAACAGGACCGUUACUUUGAAAAAAUUAGAGUGUUUAAAGCAAGCUAACGCUUGAAUACAUUAGCAUGGAAGAAUGAAAUAGGACGAUCGAUCCUAUUUUGUUGGUUUCUAGGAUUGACGUA